AAUUGUUUCCCUAAAGGGUUUAAAAGGAAUUGAGGGUUUAAAAGGACAGAAGGGUCAGAAAGGUGACCCUGUUGUGGCAGAUGUUAAAGGUGGGUACUAGUUAAAAGAACAAAGGAAUUAUGGUUUGCUACAAGCUUGUAAGGAUAAAUGUUAAACGUCUAUAGCCUGUCUAUAGUGAUUUGUGUUGUUAAAAGGUGCCAAAGGUGAUCAAGGAUUACCUGGAGAAACUGGUCUUCCAGGAGCAACUGGUAUUCCAGGACACGAUGGACUCCCUGGUCCUUUAGGAGAUCCUGGACCACCUGUAAGUGUGUACAUCUUGAAUAUUGCUUUAUUAUUAUUUUAAUAUAUGAUUUGAUGGUGCUGGCAAAAACCAAGUUCUGAUUUUUUUAUAUUUGCUUUUUUAUUAUUACUAUUAGUUAUUGUAUUAAUACAAUAUGGACAAUUAUUAGGGUGCAGGGUAUGCAGGAUUACCUGGUCCCAAAGGCAACUCUGGGUUAACUGGGCCCAAAGGUAUUGCUGGGCCUGUAGGCCAACCAGGCUUCCAGAUUCCAGGUCCUCCAGGGCCACCUGGACCUACAGGAAAUCCAGGACAUCCCGGCCUUCCAGGUGUUCCUGGACGACCAGGCCCUCCAGGUGAAAUUGAGACAUGCUGUUCUGAUGAUGAAAUCGGGCCACCUGGUCCUAGUGGUGAGCCAGGUAUACCAGGAUUUCCAGGUGAACCAGGAAGAAGUGGUCCCUUUGGAGCUCCAGGUCAACAAGGCCCCAAAGGCGAGAAAGGUGAUGAUGGUGAAAUUGGAGGGAUUGGGCCACCAGGUAAUGGCUGUUUAAGAAGUCAGUUUAAAAUGUAAUUGUUUUUCAUAAGGUUUUCAUUAAUUUUAGAAUGGUCGGUCAUACGCAUACAGUUCUUUCCGAUUUUC
rnacentral:lncRNA from 1 species